rnacentral:rRNA from 1 species
GCGAACGCUGGCGGCAGGCUUAAUACAUGCAAGUCGAACGGUUGUAGCAAUACAGCAGUGGCAGACGGGUGAGUAACGCGUGGGAACGUACCUUUUGGUUCGGAACAACACAGGGAAACUUGUGCUAAUACCGGAUAAGCCCUUACGGGGAAAGAUUUAUCGCCGAAAGAUCGGCCCGCGUCUGAUUAGCUAGUUGGUAGGGUAAUGGCCUACCAAGGCGACGAUCAGUAGCUGGUCUGAGAGGAUGAUCAGCCACACUGGGACUGAGACACGGCCCAGACUCCUACGGGAGGCAGCAGUGGGGAAUAUGGGACAAUGGGCGCAAGCCUGAUCCAGCCAUGCCGCGUGAGUGAUGAAGGCCCUAGGGUUGUAAAGCUCUUUUGUGCGGGAAGAUAAUGACGGUACCCACAGAAUAAGCACCGGCUAACUCCGU